GGCAGAAUAGUGCAAUGGAUUUAAGCUCCAUAAAUAAAGACUUACUUUUUUUAGAA
rnacentral:tRNA from 1 species